rnacentral:lncRNA from 1 species
CAGGCUGCUGACAGAAAAGAUCCAUCAAGGUGUAUGUUGAAGACCUAUGCGGCCGUGGAACGACCUGAAUUAGUAUCUAUCUUGAUUUUGAUCUUGUUCACCGGAGUGUUAAUCGAUUUGCUAGUCUAUUUGGCAUGAAUGAAUAUGUUUAUGGGCUGGAUAAUUCUCAUGAACUGGAGGGGGCUAGGUGAAAAGUGCCAUGAGCUGGCCCGCCCUGUCCAGUUGGCACGCUGCUAUUGGCCGGUGGUAACUUUGGACCGGGUUUGCACAUUGGAUGCAAGUUCUGUGACUGGGUAGGGUCAUUUUUCAAGUUGUAGGAUUCAACCAUCACAUUGUAUGCAAGUUGUAGUAUCCCUGGUGCUAUUACCUCCUACAAAAAGUAUAGUGUUGUUCGGUAAGUUUCGCCUGUGUAUUCUUUGUCCUGCACUCCUGCUAUUCUUAUUUCCAGGCCAAUAGAAGAAUGUAAGAAACCCCUAUCAUUUUGUAGCAAGAAAAGGCAGCAGAGCUCGAAGAUGGUCUGUUUGAUGGUAAUAACAAUAAGUAGUUGCCGUACUCAGUUGCUAUGGUAGUUUGCAUAUUAUUUAGUUUAUAUGUAGUCUAUGUCACUUUUGCUGAUCUAAAAAUGGCAUUUUGUAUUCUUCAAAGACAAUGCCAUUUGUUCUUAUGGUGUUGAAUCUGUUGCAGAUUUUCUUGAACUAGCUCUUCAGUUUGGGAUGAUCAUGAUGUUUGCUUGCGCCUUUCCAUUGAUAUUCUGCUUUGCUGCUCUGGUAUGUGGUUAUGACGACAGUUUACAGUCAAGUACUCAUGCUUGAUAUGCUUAGUUGCACAUGUUAUAGUUCUUAAGAACUCAUCUUCAUGACAGAACAAUGUAACAGAAACGUCACUAUAUUUGUAAGAAGACUGUUGCUUGUCAUCUUCACACACUUUUUAAUCCUAAAGUAUGAUUACUUCUGUGCCUAAUCGGUCAACAACAACUUCUGCUUCUGUUUUUCAUGCAAUGCUAUGCUUUAUAAUGAUUUACUCCCUCUGUUCCUAAAUACUUGUUGUGCGUAGUGUCAAAAUAUUCAUGUGAUUUACUCCGUCUUUCAUUUGCAUUUCUUUUAACAUCAUCUUCAGGAUGAACACAAAUCUUUUUUAUUUCUAAUAUUUUUUAUAUUUAUUUCCUUUUGAUUGAUUCAUGUGCAGUGUAAUGUUCUUGUAGGAUGACAAGUUGUCGCAUCUCGAGCAUGUCUCAUAGGAGAGUGGAAUGAAGUCUAUUGUACUGUUGUGAUAGUAGCAGAUGUGCCAUUGUUCUAUUGUACAAUUCUGUCCGUUCUUGCUAUUUUCAUGUGUAAGGAAAUGUAUUCAUGAGAUGAGUUAUUGUGUUAUGUAAACCUGAGAGAUGUAUUAUGUGAUGUUAUAUGAUGGAUGAUUUUAAUUCGA